CUUGUCGAUGUCCACAAACAGGGCGUCUCUCUUCACCCCUAGGACGCGCAACCGCCAUCGCUCGUGGCGGAUCUGCAGGCGCAACGGUAGGAUAGAAGCAACACCAGCUACUUAUCCAGGAAGCCCGAACCGUCUGCCAUCGUAGUCGUGACGACAUUGUUAUCCACUUGGUCUUCGGCAAUUUGUUCCUCCGCGAGAUUCGCAUCAAGCACUGCACUGAUUCAGUUUUUUUUUGACAAAUAUGGGCUUCAGAUUGUUGUCUCCUUGAGUGUGUGCGGGAUGUAUAAGCACAAAAAACAGUGC
rnacentral:lncRNA from 1 species